CUACCAAGUGGCAGUAAAUGCUGCUCACUCGGUAAGCUGCUCACUCUGCCCUGAUUUAUCAUGCAGGGAAAUGAGUGCCACUGCCCUGAGAAGGGAGGUUUGGUGACGUCUGCGAUGAAUUGAAUUUCCGUCUUGUGACUUUUCUGUUGCAGAACAUGGAGGAGCAGCUGAGCAAUGGAGUUGGGACUCGGGGGAGCAAUAGGUGCCUGUGUCCCAAGCUUCCUGUGUGGCCCUUGCAAGCUCCUGCUCCCCUCGCCUGCAAGUGGAGCGAUGCUCAAGUUUGAGGAAUCUUUUCCUCGGCAGGCGG